GAAUCCACAACGGGGUGCUUUUAAAGGCUGAGAUCAUACCCGAUGAACCUGGAACAGGUAAUGCUGUUUAGGGAAUCCGCUCAAACAGUAA
rnacentral:ncRNA from 1 species